GAUGAACGCUGGCGGCGUGCUUAACACAUGCAAGUCGAACGAAGCACUUAAUGAGAUUUCUUCGGAUUGAUUAUUUUGUGACUGAGUGGCGGACGGGUGAGUAACGCGUGGGUAACCUGCCCCAGACCGGGGGAUAACAGUCGGAAACGACUGCUAAUACCGCAUAAGCGCACAGUGCCGCAUGGCACGGUGUGAAAAACUCCGGUGGUCUGGGAUGGACCCGCGUCCGAUUAGUUAGUUGGCGGGGUAACGGCCCACCAAGACCGCGAUCGGUAGCCGACCUGAGAGGGUGACCGGCCACAUUGGGACUGAGACACGGUCCAAAACUCCUACGGGAGGCAGCAGUGAGGAAUAUUGGGUCAAUGGACGAGAGUCUGAACCAGCCAAGUAGCGUGCAGGAUGACGGCCCUAUGGGUUGUAAACUGCUUUAUAAGGGAAUAAAGUGAGUCUCGUGAGACUUUUUGCAUGUACCUUAUGAAUAAGGACCGGCUAAUUCCGUGCCAGCAGCC
rnacentral:rRNA from 1 species